AUUGAACGCUGGCGGAAUGCUUUACACAUGCAAGUCGAGCGGCAGCGCGGGGGCAACCCUGGCGGCGAGCGGCGAACGGGUGAGUAAUACAUCGGAACGUGUCCUUAAGUGGGGGAUAGCUCGGCGAAAGCCGGAUUAAUACCGCAUAAGCUCUGAGGAGGAAAGCGGGGGCUCCGUAAGGACCUCGCGCUGUUGGAGCGGCCGAUGUCGGAUUAGCUAGUUGGUGGGGUAAAGGCCCACCAAGGCGACGAUCCGUAGCUGGUCUGAGAGGAUGAUCAGCCACACUGGAACUGAGACACGGGUCCAGACUCCUACGGGAGGCAGCAGUGGGGAAUUUUGGACAAUGGGGCAACCCUGAUCCAGCCAUUCCGCGUGAGUGAAGAAGGCC
rnacentral:rRNA from 1 species